UACAUACUCCCUCCGUUCGGAAUUACUUGUCUCAAAAAUGGAUGUAUCUAGAACUAAAAUACAUUUAGAUACAUCCAUUUCUACGACAAGUAAUUCCGAACGGAGGGAGUACCUG
rnacentral:pre_miRNA from 1 species